CCCCUCUCGAUGUCUCUCUCCCACCCACGAAUCCCAAUCUCCCUUUUUCUCCCUUUCUGAGACAAACACCCAUCACAUUGUGUCAAAGGGGGUCUUAAACACUGGGGAGUCCAAUCUCCAGAUGAAAAAAGUGAGACUUCACAACCACAGCUAACUCAUUCAGAGUGGUGACUCUGUGCCAGGCAGUUUCCACAAUCAUUUCAUUUAAACCUCAGUACUGCUCUGUGAUGCAGAUCUACAUCUCGUUUCCAUCUUACCCAUGAGAAAGCUGAGGAACAGAGAGGUUAAGGAACCUGCACAAGGUCACACAGCUCACAAGCAGCAGAUCCCCUCCCAAGGGAGGAAGGCAUUCACCUGCUCCCUGGAGGUCAUGGGGCAAGUCAGACACAGUAUUGGGAUUUGAAUUCAGGGCUCCUGACUCCCAAGUCAGAAUUCUUCACACUAGCCCCCAUUCACUCCUUUCUCACCUGCCUCCAAUCUUCCUGCCAAAGGU
rnacentral:lncRNA from 10 species